UAUUUUAGGAAGCUAAAAGUUUAGAAUGUAACCCACUGGAGUCAGCUGACUUAAUAGAACAUGCAGAGGUUCAUAAAAACUCUGCCGAUGAUAGAAACAAGAGAAAGUCUGACGGUAUCAGAGGGAAAGGACACCAAAGCAUAGAGAUCAAGAAGCCUCUCAGGAAUGAAUGGUAAUUCAGAAGGAACAACCAGUUCAAGCUGGUUGGUCAGUUUGAAGAAAGCCAGAAGAUUUGAUUGUCCCAGAACUGUUGUGUGGCAUGUCCUGAGCAGGUUUUGCGGAGCCAGUCCAUCAAUAAGGGGUGACCUAGUGGAGAUAAAAAGCCUAAAAGCCUUUGCCUUUCAGCCAGAAGUUCUCAACCUGUGGGUCAAAACCCCCACCCUAGUCACCUAUCAGAUAUCCUGCAUGUCAGAUUUGGUUCUCUGUAUAUUCAAUUAGAGAAGCACAUGGUCUGGAAUCUUCUCAAGAAAUCAGCCACAACUGGGACCAGCAGGACCAGGCACACAGCAAGUCUGGCAGUCCAGUGACUCGGGUUCAUUCUGGUCUGUCUGGGUUAGUGUUCU